UUUUUAGGGAGACAGUUGCAUUAAGCAGCAGCAGCAGCAGCAGCAGCAGCAGCAGCAGCAGCAGCAGCAGCACAGGGUGGCCUCAGUCUCCUGCGUGCUGAGAUUACAGGCACGUGCCAUCGCCACACCUCGUCAGCUCGAUUUGGCAUUAAAAUAGCUUAUUUCAGAAGAACAUGUGGACACCUGUAGAUCGCCUUCACUUCUGAAGAACAGCUACGUUUGCAAAACCCCCCACGCUUUGUGGUGAAUAACUUCUCACCCUUCCAGGACAAUUAUAAAAACAGCCUUUGAGGCAGCCACAGAAGACCAGGACUCAGUUGCUUGCAGGAUGUGUGGGGACAGCGAGAGUGCUCGAGAGGAUACCUAAGACAAGACUUGCUGAGCUCCCAGGCGAUUCAGGCUUCAGGCGAUGGAUCCAGCCUGGGUACCAAGUCCAACCUGGUGGCCAAAAGGACUGGGACAGGGAAGGUGAAGCUCCUCUGGUGAAGGUAGCUGCAGUUUCCCACAAACCACGUCUGUUACCUUGGUGAGGUUGGAGACUCGGGUUGGAAAACUGGCGGUUGUGCGGGCAAAGGAACUCCGCUGGAGUGAAAUCAACUCCCCCACCCCGACCCCAGGAUCCUCUAAAGCAGUCAUUCCCAAUGCUGUGAUCCUUUAAUCUGGCUCCCCAUGUUAUGGUGACCCCCAACCAUAAAUUAUUUCCAUUGCUAUCUCAUAACUGUAAUUUUGCUACUGUUAUGAAGUUGUAAUGUAAAUAGAUAUCUGUGUUUUUGAUGUUCUUGGGUGACCCCUGUGAAAAGGUCAUUCGACCCCAAAAGGAUGGAGACCCACAGGUUGAGAACCACUGUUCUAAUGAGUACUCAGGUCAGCUUCUCAGUUGUUGGGUGUUUGAAGACGAGUCUCUGAGCCAGUCACCUGUGGCAUGCCUCCUGGCUCCGGGCUGGACUUGGCUUUCCUGCCUGUGCCUAGCCCUGUGUGCUCUCUAAGGGCAGGGCUAACUCUGUUCUCUUGGAACAUAUACAGCAAAUCAACUGCCACUCUCCCAGUGCUUCUUAAAGGUCUCUCUCCCUCUCCUCCUCCCUGACUCCUGUACGUCCCGUGAUGGAGGAGGAAGAGGACCUGCUUGCUUCAUUUGUACUUCAGGGUGAGUAGCUUCUGCCUUUCAGAAUGACCCUCCACAGCUAGAGAGGAAGCUAAGUGCACGGGGCAGAAGUCACGGCUCACAAAACUUUUCUACAAGAACCCCAAGACAUCCACUUUAGAAUUCCUAGCUCAAACCCUGCGCCUGGCACAUACCAUUUGUGCGUCAAAUUGAAGUUUUCUGCUUGCGACAUUCAGAUAAGACCUAAGCCCUGGCCAAUAUCCCAAUCAUAGUCUUGGGCAGAGAGCCCAGCCUAGCUGCGUCUAGACUCCCGACUCAAAGAAACUAAUAUUUACUUAAGCUACUACGUUUGGGAUAACUUGCUAUGUAGUAGGCAACUAAGUAAUAUGCCCAAUGGGGACACUCCAUGCUUGCUCUGGGUCUGCAAAACAAACUAAAGGGACAUGAAUGCACUGAAUCGUUGCACACAAGACUGCCUUUCACUCUUAUUCUGACUUGGCAGGAGGAAUAUGUCAUCUCUAAAUAAUUGGUGGAGACACUGAGUCGGUAAGUCAGGUGGCUUAUCCUAGGUCACAUAGCUUGCUUGCCUGAGACUUAAUCAUGUCCACCUUCCCCUCACGUUCUACUUUCUAAUCUGUAUGCCACAUGGCUCUUGGCAGACAGAUCCACCUGGGGUUCCACAUGUUUGCAAUAGAGUUGGCCUCCAUUGAGAUCAGGAAGAGAACGCAUAUGCCGGUGUACACUUGCUAAACAGCCAUGGAAAGUAUUAUGAGGAGCAGAAGGUGUGACUGCUAUUCAGACUUGUGGGUCCUGUAGACAAGGACAAUGAACAAAGUUACCUGUGCUAGGAGAAGGUGACUGUUUCCUCACUGGAAUAAUUCUGUGGUGUCAGAAAGUCAGAUUUUGUAUCACCUUAUAGUAUCUGUGACCCUAAUCUGCUUGAAAGGAAAGCUUCCUGGAGAGAGCGGAAAUGGAGAACUAUCUCACAGAAGAGCAAGGGCACAGCUCUGGGAGAGGCUCAGGCUGGCUUUGGGCUUUUAUUGGUUGCUUUCUUUACCCCUCUGGACUGUGCUCAGCAACUCCAGCAUAUUGUUUAACAGUGUCCUCCAAAAUUGAAACAUUCUGUCCUUCAGGGAAGCUCUUAAAACACAAAGGUAAACAACUCAGCAUAGCUCCAGGAAGUCCCUGAAAUUGACUAGAUUUAGUAGGCUCCUCUCUGUCAGACUAAGCAAUAAAAGCUGAGGGCCCAGCUCAGACCUAAGAAGACCAAGCUGGGAAAAAGAUACAGACAAGCCAAGCUACAAAGAAGACUCUGACACCAGACAAGGCUGCUCAGCAGAAACGCAAAACCAGCUGAGGAGCCUAGAAGGCUUUUAGACUACUAACAAAGGAUACCCUCCAACCUAUUGAGGGGCAUGCGAGCUGUACUCCAGAUUCCCAGUUUUGUGAGCUGUCACAUGCUGGGGUGGGCUUUAGUGAUGCAGCUGUCUUUGAGACAUUUCUGCACCUGUAGUAAUUCCUCACCCAUAUUCCUGUAAGUAACCCCAAUUAAACUCAUUCGUUCAGCAA